GACGAAUGCUGGCUGCGUGCUUAACACAUGCAAGUCGAACGGUGAAGGAGGGCUUGCCCUCCGGAUCAGUGGCGAACGGGUGAGUAACACGUGGGCAACCUGCCCCUCACUCUGGGAUAACGCCGGGAAGCCGGCGCUAAUACCGGAUACGACCAGGCGCGACAUCUCGCCUGGUGGAAAGAAUUUCGGUGAGGGAUGGGCCCGCGGCCUAUCAGCUAGUUGGUGGGGUAACGGCCCACCAAGGCGACGACGGGUAGCCGGCCUGAGAGGGCGGCCGGCCAAAAGGGGACUGCGAGACGGCCCAGACUCCUACGGGAGGCAGCAGUGGGGAAUAUUGCGCAAUGGGCGAAAGCCUGACGCAGCGACGCAGCGUGAGGGACGAAGGCCUUCGGGUUGUAAACCUCUUUCAGCGGGGACGAAGCGAAAGUGACGGUACCCGCAGAAGAAGCACCGGCCAACUACGUGCCAGCCGCCGCAGUAAAAC
rnacentral:rRNA from 1 species